rnacentral:rRNA from 1 species
GACGAACGCUGGCGGCGUGCUUAACACAUGCAAGUCGAACGGUAAGGCUCCAGCUUGCUGGGGUACACGAGUGGCGAACGGGUGAGUAACACGUGGGUGACCUGCCCUGCACUUCGGGAUAAGCCUGGGAAACUGGGUCUAAUACCGGAUAGGACCGCACCGUGAGGGUGUGGUGGAAAGUUUUUUCGGUGUGGGAUGGGCCCGCGGCCUAUCAGCUUGUUGGUGGGGUAAUGGCCUACCAAGGCGGCGACGGGUAGCCGGCCUGAGAGGGUGGACGGCCACAUUGGGACUGAGACACGGCCCAGACUCCUACGGGAGGCAGCAGUGGGGAAUAUUGCACAAUGGGCGGAAGCCUGAUGCAGCGACGCCGCGUGGGGGAUGACGGCCUUCGGGUUGUAAACUCCUUUCACCAUCGACGAAGGGUUUCUGACGGUAGAUGGAGAAGAAGCACCGGCUAACUACGUGCCAGCAGCCGCGGUAAUACGUAGGGUGCGAGCGUUGUCCGGAAUUACUGGGCGUAAAGAGCUCGUAGGUGGUUUGUCGCGUCGUCUGUGAAAUUCCGGGGCUUAACUCCGGGCGUGCAGGCGAUACGGGCAUAACUUGAGUACUGUAGGGGAGACUGGAAUUCCUGGUGUAGCGGUGAAAUGCGCAGAUAUCAGGAGGAACACCGGUGGCGAAGGCGGGUCUCUGGGCAGUAACUGACGCUGAGGAGCGAAAGCAUGGGGAGCGAACAGGAUUAGAUACCCUGGUAGUCCAUGCCGUAAACGGUGGGCGCUAGGUGUGGGUUUCCUUCCACGGGAUCCGUGCCGUAGCUAACGCAUUAAGCGCCCCGCCUGGGGAGUACGGCCGCAAGGCUAAAACUCAAAGGGAUUGACGGGGGCCCGCACAAGCGGCGGAGCAUGUGGAUUAAUUCGAUGCAACGCGAAGAACCUUACCUGGGCUUGACAUAUACAGGAUCGCGCCAGAGAUGGUGUUUCCCUUGUGGCUUGUAUACAGGUGGUGCAUGGUUGUCGUCAGCUCGUGUCGUGAGAUGUUGGGUUAAGUCCCGCAACGAGCGCAACCCUUGUCUUAUGUUGCCAGCACGUUGUGGUGGGGACUCGUAAGAAACUGCCGGGGUUAACUCGGAGGAAGGUGGGGAUGACGUCAAAUCAUCAUGCCCCUUAUGUCCAGGGCUUCACACAUGCUACAAUGGUCGGUACAGUGGGUUGCCAGUCCGUGAGGGCGAGCUAAUCCCGCAAAGCCGGUCUCAGUUCGGAUCGGGGUCUGCAACUCGACCCCGUGAAGUCGGAGUCGCUAGUAAUCGCAGAUCAGCAACGCUGCGGUGAAUACGUUCCCGGGCCU